CUCUGAAUGGUCUGAGCUCCAGUUUCUUACUGAGCAGAAUAAGUGUGCGUGUUAAAGUAGCCGUUGUUAGGUUUAUAAAUACAGCAACAUAUGCUAAUUUCCGUUAGCUCGUCUGUGGCGCAUCGCAUCAUUUGUAAGCAUUUAGCGAGCAGACUUUUGAUGGACAAAAACAUAGGAUUUGUUUGAACACUUUGGUUUAAUAAUGCAAUGUGUAAUUCUCUUGUUUUAUGUGGCAGUUUUACAGUAAACUUCAACUGGGAGUGACAAACAGCUUGAAGCAAGGACACUUUGACUCUUAUUUGGAAAACUGUGCAAACGACUGAGUACAGGUGGUUUUCAACCUAGUGCGGGUGGUUCUGGAAUAUAUCCUGUGCUAGAAAUGGCUGGUACACUGUAUUGCGCUUUUCUACCUUCAAAAUACCCAAGCAUUUUAGGACUGUCUCCUCAUUCAUCUGACAACACAUCAGGUGCAACUGGGGAGUUCAAUAUCUUGCUAUAGGACACUUUGACAUGGUUUCAGGGUCUCAGGUUCGUACCCUCAAGGUUGGGAGACGACCACUCGACCACCUGAGUCACUCCGCAACAUUAUUAUGCCCAGUCUUACUGCCUUGCCUUUAAAGAAUUAAACACUCUGAAACAACA